GCUGGUGUAGCUCAAUAGGUAGAGCAAUUGAUUUGUAAUCAAUAGGUUGGGGGUUCAAGUCCUCUCACCAGCU
rnacentral:tRNA from 1 species